UGGGAUUUGUUUUGGUGAUGAUUAGUGCUGCAUUACCUUUAAAGCAGAAAUGCCCUGUGCUUUAUGAAGCACGUGGCGCGUAUGGAAACUGCAUCAUCUCUCCAGACGGCAAAAGCGGCUGAUGGCACCUUCUGUCUUUUGCUGUCUUGAAGCAUUUAGGUUGUAAAUUCUUCUGGUGCAGCUUUGGGGAGCUGGUGCUUUCCUUCCCUCUGGUUAAGCAAGAGCUUUGGCAAGCUGCCAACGCUCCCCCACCCCGAGAGCCUCAUCCUCCAGGUUUGUUUGCAGACUGCUUGCCCGAUGCCUAAAAAAGGAACCAAUCAGAUUGCAUUUGCCUAAUGCAUUAAUGAAUCUGCUUAGGUGUCAUCAAGUCUAAUUUCUUAGUGGGCUGUGACAGUUUAAUGCCUUGGGACUGAAUUGCCGAGGAGAAGUUGAGGGGUGAUGGAUGGCCUGAGGAACUCUGAAACCUGAAGACUUUUACCAUGCCACAUCCCCCAGCCCAGAGUAAAACUUCCCUGGGUACUAACGGAAGCAUGUAAAUAAAAACAGAGAUGAAGGAACAGGACAGAGCCCUCGGGAAGCUCAGCUGGAGGCCUCUUGGAUUUAUGCAGCUAUCUGUGAAGCCCUGCUACUGUCGGAGCGCUCGGAGCUUGUCCGUGCCUCUGGGAAAGGUGCGUGGACCAGUACGCGGGGCUCCGCCGGGAGCCAACUACCAGCCCGUGAACGUGUUUUAUUCAUGCUGGAGGGUAGUCUCCCAUAGGAGCAUGAGGAAAGAGACCUCUCUCCUCGAGACAACUUGAGGAAGGUAAGGCACUGAGGGGGACGAGUCAAAUCUUUCUAGGGAGAAGUUGUCAUGAGAAGCCAUGCGAUACUCGCAGGGAGCACGGGAGCAGAUGAACAGCUGGCCUGACAGUCUGAGACGGGGGACACUGGUUCGAGCAUACGUUAGUUCAAGGUGCUGACUGACUUCUCCACUCCGAGCCUUGGCUGUCCGGCAUCUAGAGCCUGUUCCUGACUCCUUUAUGGCAAAAGUCCUGUGUGUCCCGUCAAGAC
rnacentral:lncRNA from 1 species